rnacentral:rRNA from 1 species
UCCCACCCGUGUUUAUUUACCUUGUUGCUUCGGCGAGCCUGCCUUUUGGCUGCCGGGGGACGUCAGUCCCCGGGUCCGUGCUCGCCGGAGACACCUUAGAACUCUGUCUGAAGAUUGUAGUCUGAGAUUAAAUAUAAAUUAUUUAAAACUUUCAACAACGGAUCUCUUGGUUCCGGCAUCGAUGAAGAACGCAGCGAAAUGCGAUACGUAAUGUGAAUUGCAGAAUUCAGUGAAUCAUCGAGUCUUUGAACGCACAUUGCGCCCUCUGGUAUUCCGGAGGGCAUGCCUGUCCGAGCGUCAUUGCUGCCCUCAAGCACGGCUUGUGUGUUGGGCCCCGUCCUCCUUCCGGGGGACGGGUCCGAAAGGCAGCGGCGGCACCGCGUCCGGUCCUCAAGCGUAUGGGGCUUUGUCACUCGCUUUGUAGGCCUGGCCGGCGCUUGCCGAUCAACCAAACUUUUUAUCAGGUUGACCUCGG